rnacentral:rRNA from 1 species
AUUAGAUACCCUGGUAGUCCAUGCCGUAAACGAUGAGUGCUAAGUGUUGUGGAGGUUUCCGCCUCUCAGUGCUGCAGCUAACGCAUUAAGCACUCCGCCUGGGGAGUACGACCGCAAGGUUGAAACUCAAAGGAAUUGACGGGGGCCCGCACAAGCGGUGGAGCAUGUGGUUUAAUUCGAAGCAACGCGAAGAACCUUACCAGGUCUUGACAUCUAGUGCCAUCCUAAGAGAUUAGGAGUUCCCUUCGGGGACACUAAGACAGGUGGUGCAUGGCUGUCGUCAGCUCGUGUCGUGAGAUAUUGGGUUAAGUCCCGCAACGAGCGCAACCCUUGUUAUUAGUUGCCAGCAUUAAGUUGGGCACUCUAAUGAGACUGCCGGUGACAAACCGGAGGAAGGUGGGGAUGACGUCAAGUCAUCAUGCCCCUUAUGACCUGGGCUACACACGUGCUACAAUGGGCAGUACAACGAGAAGCGAGCCUGCGAAGGCAAGCGGAUCUCUUAAAGCUGUUCUCAGUUCGGACUGCAGUCUGCAACUCGACUGCACGAAGCUGGAAUCGCUAGUAAUCGCGGAUCAGCACGCCGCGGUGAAUACGUUCCCGGGCCUUGUACACACCGCCCGUCACACCAUGGAAGUCUGCAAUGCCCGAAGCCGGUGGCCUAACCACUUAUGUGGAAGGAGCAGUCUAAGGCAGGGCAGAUGACUGGGUGAAGUCGUAACAAGGUACC